rnacentral:rRNA from 1 species
AAUAUUGCACAAUGGGUGAAACCCUGAUGCAGCGACGCCGCUUGAGCGAAGAGUGCCUUCGGUUCGUAAAGCUCUUUCCUAAGGGAAGAAACGGACGGUACCUUAGGAGGAAGCCUCGGCUAACUACGUGCCAGCAGCCGCGGUAAUACGUAGGGGGCGACCGUUAUCCGGAAUUAUUGGGCGAAAAGGGUUCGUAGGCGGCCUUUUAAGCCAGAUGUGAAAGGCUAGGGCUUACAUGUAGUUAGCAUUUGAAACUAAAAGGCUUGAGUGCAGGAGAGGAGAGUGGAAUUCCUAGUGUAGCGGUGAAAUGCGUAGAUAUUAGGAGGAACACCAGUGGCGAAGGCGACUCUCUGGACUGCAACUGACGCUGAGGCACGAAAGCGUGGGGAGCGAACAG